UACGUAGGGUGCGAGCGUUAAUCGGAAUUACUGGGCGUAAAGCGUGCGCAGGCGGCUUUCUAAGUCAGAUGUGAAAUCCCCGGGCUCAACCUGGGAACUGCAUUUGUGACUGCAAGGCUAGAGUACGGCAGAGGGGGAUGGAAUUCCGCGUGUAGCAGUGAAAUGCGUAGAUAUGCGGAGGAACACCAAUGGCGAAGGCAAUCCCCUGGGCCUGUACUGACGCUCAUGCACGAAAGCGUGGGGAGCAAACAGG
rnacentral:rRNA from 1 species